AGAGAGGUGGCAGAGUGGUCGAAUGCGGCGGAUUCGAAAUCCGCUAUACGGGCAACCGUAUCGGGGGUUCGAAUCCCUUCCUCUCUG
rnacentral:tRNA from 1 species